GUGGGGAAUUUUGGACAAUGGGCGCAAGCCUGAUCCAGCCAUUCCGCGUGCAGGAUGAAGGCCCUCGGGUUGUAAACUGCUUUUGUACGGAACGAAACGGCCUGCUCUAAUACAGCGGGCUAAUGACGGUACCGUAAGAAUAAGCACCGGCUAACUACGUGCCAGCAGCCGCGGUAAUACGUAGGGUGCGAGCGUUAAUCGGAAUUACUGGGCGUAAAGCGUGCGCAGGCGGUGAUGUAAGACAGGUGUGAAAUCCCCGGGCUUAACCUGGGAACUGCAUUUGUGACUGCAUCGCUGGAGUGCGGCAGAGGGGGAUGGAAUUCCGCGUGUAGCAGUGAAAUGCGUAGAUAUGCGGAGGAACACCGAUGGCGAAGGCAAUCCCCUGGGCCUGCACUGACGCUCAUGCACGAAAGCGUGGGGAGCAAACAGGAUUAGAUACCCGAGUAGUCC
rnacentral:rRNA from 1 species